rnacentral:rRNA from 1 species
CCCUUAGAUGUUCUGGGCCGCACGCGCGCUACACUGACGAUGGCAACGAGUUUUUCCUUCGCCGAAAGGUGUGGGUAAUCUUUUGAAACAUCGUCGUGCUGGGGAUAGACCAUUGCAAUUUUUGAUCUUGAACGAGGAAUUCCUAGUAAGCGCGAGUCAUCAGCUCGCGUUGAUUACGUCCCUGCCCUUUGUACACACCGCCCGUCGCUACUACCGAUUGAAUGGUUUAGUGAGGACUCCUGAUUGGCGCCGCCGCCCCGGCAACGGAGCAGCGGACUGCCGAAAAGUUGUUCAAACUUGAUCAUUUAGAGGAAGUAAAAGUCGUAACA